rnacentral:rRNA from 1 species
UACGGAGGGGGCAAGCGUUAUUCGGAAUUGUUGGGCGUAAAGGGCGCGUAGGCGGCUAGAUGUGUCAAAGGUGAAAUCCCUCGGCUCAACUGAGGAACUGCCUUUGAAACUGUCUGGCUUGAGGCCGGGAGAGGGUAGCGGAAUUCCCAGUGUAGCGGUGAAAUGCGUAGAUAUUGGGAGGAACACCAGUGGCGAAGGCGGCUACCUGGACCGGUUCUGACGCUGAGGCGCGAUAGCGUGGGUAGCAAACAGG